rnacentral:rRNA from 1 species
GACGAACGCUGGCGGCGUGCUUAACACAUGCAAGUCGAACGGAAAGGCCUCUUUCGGGGGGUACUCGAGUGGCGAACGGGUGAGUAACACGUGAGUAACCUGCCCUUGACUUUGGGAUAACUUCAGGAAACUGGGGCUAAUACCGGAUAGGAGCUCCUGCUGCAUGGUGGGGGUUGGAAAGUUUCGGCGGUUGGGGAUGGACUCGCGGCUUAUCAGCUUGUUGGUGGGGUAGUGGCUUACCAAGGCUUUGACGGGUAGCCGGCCUGAGAGGGUGACCGGCCACAUUGGGACUGAGAUACGGCCCAGACUCCUACGGGAGGCAGAAGUGGGGAAUAUUGCACAAUGGGUGGAAGCCUGAUGCAGCAACGCCGUGUGCGGGAUGACGGCCUUCGGGUUGGAAACCGCUUUCGCUCAUGACGAAGCUUUGUGUGACGGUAGCGGGUAAAGAAGCACCGGCUAACUACGUG